CUCUUGACGUAGCGGCGGACGGGUGAGUAACACGUGGGUAACCUACCUAUAAGACUGGGAUAACUUCGGGAAACCGGAGCUAAUACCGGAUAAUAUUUCGAACCGCAUGGUUCGAUAGUGAAAGGUGGUUUUGCUAUCACUUAUAGAUGGACCCGCGCCGUAUUAGCUAGUUGGUAAGGUAACGGCUUACCAAGGCGACGAUACGUAGCCGACCUGAGAGGGUGAUCGGCCACACUGGAACUGAGACACGGUCCAGACUCCUACGGGAGGCAGCAGAC
rnacentral:rRNA from 1 species